AGGAUGAACGCUGGCGGCGUGCCUAACACAUGCAAGUCGAACGUCCUGUCUCGCAAGAGGCAGGGAGUGGCGGACGGGUGAGUACCACGUGGGUCAUCUACCGUGAGGUGAGGAAUACCGGCGAGAAAUCGCCGACAAGACCGCAUAGCCUCGGUGCAAGUCGAGGAAAGCUCUCUCGAGAGAGGGAGCGCCACACGAGGAGCCUGCGCCCGAUUAGCUAGCUGGUGGAGUAAUGGUUCACCAAGGCGUCGAUCGGUAGCUGGUCUGAGAGGACGAUCAGCCACACUGGGAUUGAGAACGGCCCAGACUCCUACGGGGGGCAGCAGUGAGGAAUUUUCGGCAAUGGGGGAAACCCUGACCGAGCAACGCCGCGUGCAGGAAGACGGCUCGGUUGUAACCUCUUUCAGCAGGACGAAGCGAAAGUGACGGUACCUGCAGAAGAAGCACCGGCCAACUACGUGCCAGCAGCCGC
rnacentral:rRNA from 1 species